GUCGAGAAUCUUUCACAAUGGGGGCAACCCUGAUGGAGCGACGCCGCGUGGAGGAUAAGGUCUUCGGAUUGUAAACUCCUGUCAUGCGUGAACAAGGUUGCUUGGUUAAUACCUGGGCAAAUUGAUGGUAACGCAAGAGGAAGAGACGGCUAACUCUGUGCCAGCAGCCGCGGUAAUACAGAGGUCUCAAGCGUUGUUCGGAAUCACUGGGCGUAAAGGGUGCGUAGGUGGCGUGGUAAGUCAGAUGUGAAAGCCCGGGGCUCAACCUCGGAACUGCAUCCGAUACGGCCAUGCUAGAGUACUGGAGAGGUGACUAGAAUUCUCGGUGUAGCAGUGAAAUGCGUAGAUAUCGAGAGGAAUACCAAAGGCGUAGGCAGGUCACUGGACAGUUACUGACACUGAGGCACGAAGGCCAGGGGAGCGAACGGGAUUAGAAACCCGGGUAGUCC
rnacentral:rRNA from 1 species